rnacentral:rRNA from 1 species
GAGUUUGAUCCUGGCUCAGAUUGAACGCUGGCGGCAGGCCUAACACAUGCAAGUCGAGCGGAUGACGGGAGCUUGCUCCUUGAUUCAGCGGCGGACGGGUGAGUAAUGCCUAGGAAUCUGCCUGGUAGUGGGGGACAACGUUUCGAAAGGAACGCUAAUACCGCAUACGUCCUACGGGAGAAAGCAGGGGACCUUCGGGCCUUGCGCUAUCAGAUGAGCCUAGGUCGGAUUAGCUAGUUGGUGGGGUAAUGGCUCACCAAGGCGACGAUCCGUAACUGGUCUGAGAGGAUGAUCAGUCACACUGGAACUGAGACACGGUCCAGACUCCUACGGGAGGCAGCAGUGGGGAAUAUUGGACAAUGGGCGAAAGCCUGAUCCAGCCAUGCCGCGUGUGUGAAGAAGGU